AUUGAACGCUGGCGGCAUGCCUUACACAUGCAAGUCGAACGGCAGCACGGGCUUUGGUCUGGUGGCGAGUGGCGAACGGGUGAGUAACGUAUCGGAACGUACCUUUCAGUGGGGGAUAACGUAGCGAAAGUUACGCUAAUACCGCAUAUUCUGUGAGCAGGAAAGCAGGGGAUCGCAAGACCUUGCGCUGAUUGAGCGGCCGAUAUCAGAUUAGCUAGUUGGUGGGGUAAAGGCCUACCAAGGCGACGAUCUGUAGCGGGGCUGAGAGGAUGAUCCGCCACACUGGAACUGAGACACGGUCCAGACUCAUACGGGAGGCAGCAGUGGGGAAUUUUGGACAAUGGGGGCAACCCUGAUCCAGCCAUGCCGCGUGAGUGAAGAAGGCCUUCGGGUUGUAAAGCUCUUUCGGCCAGGAAGAAAUCGCAUGGGCUAAUACCCUGUGUGGAUGACGGUACCGGAAUAAGAAGCACCGGCUAACUACGUGCCAGCCGCCGCGGUAAGAC
rnacentral:rRNA from 1 species